UGGGCUACCAUGACCCCCUAACCAACUACAGCCAAGUCACAGAUAUGUGAAACACCCCUAUAUUGUUAAAUUCUGGACCACUAAGAAAGCCAUGCCACACUUGUCUCUAUUGGUUCCCCCCAUGGGUCUCCAUGAGUAUCUGUGAGUAUUCUUGUUCCCUGAAAGGAUUGGAAAUCAGUAAAGGUAAAGUCUAACUUGACUUUGAGGAUCAUCUCAAGCCCUGCUUCCUCUGUGGAAUCUUCCUUCUGAGUUUCUGAGCCUCAGAAUUUUGCUUGUGAAAAGUGAAAAGACUGCAUACUCUCCCAUACCAAACCUAAUGUAAUUCUAGGAGUAGACAGAAUGGCUUCUCCUUACUGGAUCAAGGAUAGAAAUGAAGGGCAGUGUUUUUGAAGUCAGGAGGUGAAGAUGAGAAGAUGACCUACCUCCUAAUAACUGGAGAAAUAAGGAAGGUCCUCCUAGAGGCAGUGUUUUGAUGCAAGUUAGGGAAUCUAAAAAACAGAAGAGAGAGAGCGUUCCAGCCUUGGAGGACUACCUGUGCAGGUACACUGCAGGUGGGAGAGGAUGGAUGUAUAUGGGGAGUAAAAUAAAUCAACCAGAAGAAAGAAUGCAUGAUGGCAUGGAUGAAUAUAAAAUAAGAUUGGAAAGGUAUUGCCAUGAUGUUAAGAGAGAAGAAGAUCAGGACGUGUUAAGUGGAACUCUAUGAUUCAACUUGAAAAAGAAUUUUCUUCAAAAGGCCACUUCCCUUCUUCUCUGAGAUUACCUUUAUCAUUCUAUAAAUUUUGUUUAUGCCCAUA